AGCAGUCGCCACGGGAAUACGUAGGUGGCAAGCGUUGUCCGGAAUUAUUGGGCGUAAAGGGCUCGCAGGCGGUUUCUUAAGUCUGAUGUGAAAGCCCCCGGCUCAACCGGGGAGGGUCAUUGGAAACUGGGAAACUUGAGUGCAGAAGAGGAGAGUGGAAUUCCACGUGUAGUGGUGAAAUGCGUAGAGAUGUGGAGGAACACCAGUGGCGAAGGCGACUCUCUGGCCUGUAACUGACGCUGAGGAGCGAAAGCGUGGGGAGCGAACAGGAUUAGAUACCCCUGUAGUCCCUGUCUCUUAUAC
rnacentral:rRNA from 1 species